rnacentral:rRNA from 1 species
ACUGGAUACUACCUCUUGCCGCAUGGUGGGUGGUGGAAAGGGUUUUACUGGUUUUGGAUGGGCUCACGGCCUAUCAGCUUGUUGGUGGGGUAAUGGCUCACCAAGGCGACGACGGGUAGCCGGCCUGAGAGGGUGACCGGCCACACUGGGACUGAGACACGGCCCAGACUCCUACGGGAGGCAGCAGUGGGGAAUAUUGCACAAUGGGCGGAAGCCUGAUGCAGCGACGCCGCGUGAGGGAUGACGGCCUUCGGGUUGUAAACCUCUUUCAGUAGGGAAGAAGCGAGAGUGACGGUACCUGCAGAAGAAGCGCCGGCUAACUACGUGCCAGCAGCCGCGGUAAUACGUAGGGCGCAAGCGUUGUCCGGAAUUAUUGGGCGUAAAGAGCUCGUAGGCGGUUUGUCGCGUCUGCUGUGAAAGCCCGGGGCUCAACCCCGGGUCUGCAGUGGGUACGGGCAGACUAGAGUGCAGUAGGGGAGACUGGAAUUCCUGGUGUAGCGGUGAAAUGCGCAGAUAUCAGGAGGAACACCGAUGGCGAAGGCAGGUCUCUGGGCUGUUACUGACGCUGAGGAGCGAAAGCAUGGGGAGCGAACAGGAUUAGAUACCCUGGUAGUCCAUGCCGUAAACGUUGGGCACUAGGUGUGGGGGACAUUCCACGUUUUCCGCGCCGUANCUAACGCAUUAAGUGCCCCGCCUGGGGAGUACGGCCCGCAAGGCUAAAACUCAAAGGAAUUUGACGGGGGGCCCGCACAAGCGGCGGAGCAUGCGGAUUAAUUUCGAUGCAACGCGAA